GAAGAAGCAUAUUAGGGUGUGAAUUGCGACGCAACCCUUCGCCUUCCCCUGCUUUACCAAAAAAAUUCAACUUACAACCCGGAUGAAAAAUUGGGAAUGGUUAUACAUAUAUCUUACCAAUGCACGAAUCAAACAGAAAAACACUGGCAAUAAUUAUUUCCUCUCUACUUCCCUCUCUUCGUGUGUUGAUUCAGUCUCCUGUAAUCGAUUUUGAUUCAUCCUGGUUUACUUGAAGCACUUGCAAACGAUCUAUAUCGCACAAUCUUCGUUCCUUUUGACAGCAAUAUUCUAGGGGUAUCAGGAUUGUGGGUAUAAAAUGAUGCAUUUACAAGGGAGGAGAUGGGAUGCAAAAGGGAUCGAAUAAGGGUUCGCUUAUGAUGUUGGAACCACUUUUGAAUCUUAUGGUAUUUUCACGGCAGCCAUGGCGUAUUGUAUUAAUUUCCCACGAUUGUUGGGAACAUCUUUUCUGCAAUUUUCACCUUUUCUUCGCAUUAGGUGCAUUGACUGGUGUUUUGAUUGGUCAAGAAAGAGAGAAUGGGUGCGUUAUUUGGAGCCAUUUCGGGUGUGGUUGUUUCGAUUGAAGUUUCGAAUCUGCUCUUUUUUUGUGGCACUCUGAUGAGUCUGGGAUCAGAUGCAUUCUAUACUUGUAUAUUGUGAAGAUAAAGUGAAGCCAUCCAAGAGACAAAGUUUAGUCAAGGGGAAGUUCAGAUGAGUGCCAAGGUUAGGAUAAUCAAUAAUAACAUUGGUGUGGUAACUAUUUUUUUUUUUUUUUUUUGUAACAACUAAACUUUGCC
rnacentral:lncRNA from 1 species